UCCUGCACUCCGGGCGCGGAGGGCCGGUCGGCCGCCUCCACUCGUCCGCGGCGGCUCUCGGCGCGCCGGCCCCGCUCAGGCUCUGGUGUCCCCUCUCUCCGGACCUUCUCUCCGGGCUCGGGUCCCCUCCGCGGGCUCCCCCGGCGGCCGGCCCGGCCCGGAGGCUCGCGGCCGGAGCGGAGCGGAGUGCGCACGCCGGGGUGGCGGGACUUCGGCAAGACCAACUUUCCGAAUCUUCCCGCUACCCAGCCGCGGUUCUCCCGCGCGCCUCUAAUCGUGUAAGUUUCACGAAGCAACAGCUUUGGGCUCCAGGAAAAGCGCAGGAAAAUCAUACAGAGGAAGGAAGUGCACAGGUUGGAAUCAUCUCCAAAGAGACCCCGCCGUCACUUUUGCCACCCCCCUCCCAACCAAUCCCUGAAGAAGCAAACGUAGGUUCCCGCGGCGUCCGAAGCCCCUCAGAGGAAGCCCGAGCCCGGCUCCCCGGCCGCCUCCUGGCCCGGUGUCACCGACUCCUCCUCUUCGGGCCGCUUUGCACGCACCGGCCCCACCUUUUUUGUUCCUAAAGCCAUUCGUCCGCCCGUCCCAGCCCCCCACUCUCUCUCCGACACACUGGCACGAUUUCCUUAGGGCUUUCCCGGACUCCUGAACGCCACUGCUUCAUUCCGUCGACUUGCUCUGCAUUUUCUGCGGUGUGCGGCCGUGGGGAGGAUCUUAAGUCCCUCCAGCGAAGGUGAAAGUGAGACCCCGGCCCUUUAUCUGUAAGAAGCGAGCCGUCAGAUUGCAGAGGUGCCGCGCCAGCCGCGCUGCGCGUUGUAAGUGCGGAGACACAGCAGGCUGGGCUCGGCGCUGCGGUGGACGCAGUGGCUCCCCCAAAGUGAGCGGCCGCGGAGCAGGACACGGAGCUCGCGGUCCAACCGGCCCGGCGUGGGGUGCGGUCCCCGCCCAGGGCGCGCGCGGUGGGGUCGCCUGGCCGAAGGUGCGGGCUGCGCCUCGCCCCCCGCGCUCUCCGCGCUGGGAUUUCCUUGAGAAGAUGGAGCAAAGACUUGGGCGAAAGAGCCAGGGAAGCUGUGAAAGGGGCACCUACACAAAUUCCCCGCCACUGCCAGAAUGGUGCGGAUCAGUAAAUUGUGUGGCGCACCUUUUAAAAAAUUGAUUCGGGUGUUCAAGGUCAAUAAAAUUAAAAAAAAAAAAGUAGAGGCCGAAAAUAAAAGGCG